CCCUUAGAUGUUCUGGGCCGCACGCGCGCUACACUGAUGCAUUCAACGAGCCUAUCCUUGACCGACAGGUCCGGGUAAUCUUUGAAUCUGCAUCGUGACGGGGAUAGAUUAUUGCAACUAUUAAUCUUCAACGAGGAAUGCCUAGUAGGCGCAAGUCAUCAGCUUGCGUCGAUUACGUCCCUGCCCUUUGUACACACCGCCCGUCGCUCCUACCGAUUGGGUGUGCUGGUGAAAUGUUCGGAUCGGCCGUUUGUCGCGGUUUCCGCGGCUCGUGGCUGAGAAGUUCAUUAAACCCUCCCACCUAGAGGAAGGAGAAGUCGUAACA
rnacentral:rRNA from 1 species